AUGAAUUUCUUGGCCUGGAACUGUCGAGGAUUGGGGUUGGACUCGACAGUCGGCGAACUAAGGGACCUGAUACGAUCAUACAACCCAGCGGUGGUUUUUCUUUUGGAAACAAAGAAGAAGGUGAGAGCAAUGGAGAAUCUGAAGUGGAGUUUGGGCUUCAAAAGUGGUGUGGCGGUAGAUUGUCAAGGCUUGAGUGGUGGACUUGCACUUUGGUGGAGAGAAAACGUACUAGUGAAGUUGAGGCUAUGGUGCCAAUAUUUCAUUGAUACUGAGAUGGUGUGGGAGGGCAAGACCUAUAGAUUCACUGGUUUAUAUGGGGAGCCCAAGACGGAUUUGAGGAAGAAGUCGUGGGAUGCUAUUCGCUUUCUAAGGGCACAAGAUGAUCUCCCAUGGAUUUGUGUUGAGACUACAACAAGGCUCUCUUCCAAACUGAUCAACUAG
rnacentral:rRNA from 1 species